GUCGAGGGAGCUGCAUCUUUUUUUGAUGGUGAUUGUGCUAUGAGCUGUCACUGGUUGUUGGGAAAAAAGACCUUUGCAUCCCUGUUCCCUCGUGAGAGUUCCCGGUGUUAGAGCCCAAACUCUCCCACCCAGUGUCGCCGCUCCCUGAGCAGACCGGUAACCCUGCGUGGUGACAGCAGCGGUUUGUGCAGGCAGGCUUGGUGCCGGCCAUCAAGGCCUGACCCUGUGCCAGGAACGCGUCAAAGGGCAAGCUUUUGGUUGCUGUAUGGGGGAAAGAGUUAGUCAAAAACCUUUGGCUCCAACUGAACCAAUGCAUUGAGCUUAGACUCACUUACUUAAGAGAAUUACAAAGGAAACGCCGGUGCUGAGCAUACUGAUCAGCGGCAUGCAGAUUUCCCCCCCCUCUCCCCUUGCCCGCCCCACCCAGGGGGGA